GUCUACGGCCAUACCACCCUAAACAUACCCGAUCUAGUCUGAUCUCAGAAGCUAAGCAGGGUUGGGCCUGGUUAGUACUUGGAUGGGAGAAACCUAUUUUUGUUGGAGGUGCGAAUACCCUAGGAC
rfam:Erinaceus europaeus unplaced genomic scaffold scaffold00958, whole genome shotgun sequence